rnacentral:snoRNA from 7 species
UGGCCAAGGAUGAGAACUCUAACCUGACUGGAUACGCUGCUGUGAUGGGUUAAAGGAUUUACCUGAGGCCA